GACGGGUGAGUAACGCGUGGGAAACCUGCCCUGUACCGGGGGAUAACACUUAGAAAUAGGUGCUAAUACCGCAUAAGCGCACAGCUUCACAUGAGGCAGUGUGAAAAACUCCGGUGGUACAGGAUGGUCCCGCGUCUGAUUAGCCAGUUGGCAGGGUAACGGCCUACCAAAGCGACGAUCAGUAGCCGGCCUGAGAGGGUGACCGGCCACAUUGGGACUGAGACACGGCCCAAACUCCUACGGGAGGCAGCAGUGGGGAAUAUUGCACAAUGGGGGAAACCCUGAUGCAGCGACGCCGCGUGAGCGAUGAAGUAUUUCGGUAUGUAAAGCUCUAUCAGCAGGGAAGAAAAUGACGGUACCUGACUAAGAAGCCCCGGCUAACUACGUGCCAGCAGCCGCGGUAAUACGUAGGGGGCAAGCGUUAUCCGGAUUUACUGGGUGUAAAGGGAGCGUAGACGGUGUUGCAAGUCUGAUGUGAAAGGCGGGGGCUCAACCCCUGGACUGCAUUGGAAACUGUGAUACUCGAGUGCCGGAGAGGUAAGCGGAAUUCCUAGUGUAGCGGUGAAAUGCGUAGAUAUUAG
rnacentral:rRNA from 1 species